GGGGAAUAUUGGACAAUGGGCGCAAGCCUGAUCCAGCCAUGCCGCGUGGAUGAUGAAGGCCUUAGGGUUGUAAAGUCCUUUCGACGGGGAAGAUAAUGACGGUACCCGUAGAAGAAGCCCCGGCUAACUUCGUGCCAGCAGCCGCGGUAAUACGAAGGGGGCUAGCGUUGCUCGGAAUCACUGGGCGUAAAGCGCACGUAGGCGGGCUUUUAAGUCGGGGGUGAAAUCCUGGAGCUCAACUCCAGAACUGCCUCCGAUACUGGGAGUCUCAGAGUCCGGGAGAGGUGAGUGGAACUGCGAGUGUAGAGGUGAAAUUCGUAGAUAUUCGCAAGAACACCAGUGGCGAAGGCGGCUCACUGGCCCGGUACUGACGCUGAGGUGCGAAAGCGUGGGGAGCAAAC
rnacentral:rRNA from 1 species